AAAGAAAGAAGCAAAGUCGGUUAAGUGAAGAAGAAAAAAAGGAAAAGAGAAGUCGGUGUGAGAGAGAGAGAGCAAAGGGGAAAACCGUCGGCCAAGGGAGAAAGAGAGGGCUAGAAGAGAGUAGAAAAAUGGCAGCUGCCGCUGCUUAGAGGAGUGAAGAGAGACCUUGUUCAGCACAAUUUUUAGAAGGAAAUAGGAAGUGUUUGGCUGUAAAUUUUUAAGAGGAAAUAGGAAGAGUUUUGCUGUAAAUUUUGAAAGGAAAUAGAAAGAGUUUUGCUGUAAAUUUGAAAGAGAAAACAAGAGCUAGUGCUGUUAGGUUUGUGAGGGAGUAAACAAAAGCUUAAGCUACAAGCUUGUGAGUGUAAGAAAGGAAAAAGAAAGAGAAGAAAGGUGCCGUCGACCGACGGGAGAGAGGAGAAGAAGAAAGAGAGAAAGAAACAAAAAAAAAAGAAAAAAGAAGAAAAAAAGAGAGUGGGUAUAGCCCAAUAAGAAAAGAAUGGGCAUGGCCCAAUAGGAAGAAAUGGGAAAAGCCCAUGGAAAGGGCCCAAUAGCAACAAAGAAAGAAAUGUCCAAAAGAGAAUAAAGGUGGAGACUUGGGCUUGGGCUAACCUAGCCCAAAUAGGUAAAAACUUCCUUGCUUUUAUUGGGCUUGUUAUAAAGUUGGAUUAUUUGGGGCUAGCCCACUUGUUUAGUUAAAUUUUGGUUAUUAGUGGUAUGAAUUAAAUUUAAAUUACUUUAAUACAAUAUUUGAAAAUUGUAUUAGGAUGUGUCAUAGGACUAAAGUAAAGAAGAAAAUAUGAAAUUGAUGAAUAGUGCUCAAGUAAAGUUAAGAAAUUUUAAAUGAUUCGUUGUGAAGAAUUAUUGUUGUCGAAGGAAUUUAUUGGCAUAAUUUAGUUGAAAGUGUUUAGUUGAAUGGUAUAAUAUUUGGAAGAAAUAAGGAGAAACAAUGUGGAUUGAAAUUGAAAAAUAAUUGGAUAGAUUUGAAAUGACUGUGGUUGCCGUAAAUAUAGUUAAUACUAUGAAAAUAUAAGAUGGAUUUGGGUCGAAAUUAUUUAGAAAGGUUGAAGUAGGCACGUGACAUCAUGAAUAAGUUGUCGGAGAUAUAAAAUAAGGAAUUACGUAAACAACUGAUAUAAGUAAUUUAAGUAAAAAUGUAUUAAGAUGUUAGUUAAUUGAAGAUGGUUUCAUGGUAGGAUGAAAAAUAUAAAUUUGAGUAAGGAUUAAUUGAUUGAAGUGCUGCUCGUAUACAUAUGUAAUUAUAUAUAUUGAGUUCUUCUUAUUGCUAGGAAGUGCAAAGAUAAGGUUAGAGUACUGUGGUGGUGUGUCGGAGUAAAUAACGAGCGACCAGCCAGUGAAAAUAGUUAGAGAUACCUCCGAACAAAUAACGACUUAAUAUCUCGUUGUUGCCAAGUGAGUGAACUUGCAUUAAAAUAUUUUGAAAGAUACACAUUUAUGUUUGAUUGAAUCCUCUAAAACGUUUUUUUGGUUUUUCUUCAAAAACUUGCACGGGAACAAGCCCUUAUGAAAUGUUUUUAUGUUAUGAAAUGGAUAAUGUGAUGAAUUCAUAUGUUUAUGUAUAAUGUUGAUAUAUAUAUACUAUGUCAUAAAUGGUGCCAUUGUGUGACAAAUGCAACCGUGCAUGUGCGGGGUGAGUGUGCACUUGUCGGUGAUGACGGUGGUGAGGGAGAUGGAUGGUGAUAUUGUCCGGCUAAGUGCACGAUGUGGUGGGAUGCACAUGAGCUAGAUGAGGUGGGAUGUCCGGCUAUGUGCACGAUGUGGUGGGAUGCACAUGAGCUGGGAGAGAUGGGAUGUUCGGCUAUGUGCACGAUGUGGUGGGAUGCACAUGAGUUGGGUGGGAUGGGAUGUCCAGCUAUGUGCAUGAUGUCGUGGAUGCACAUGAGCUGAAUGAGAUGUGGUGAUGUACCAGUUGAUAUAUGCUUAAGUAUAUGUAUAUGCAAUAGAAAGAUUAUAAUUAUAAUAUGUGAUUAUACGACAUGAUGAAUCUUGAAAAUUUCCCACUUACUUGUGAAUUGAUUUUAUUGCAGCAAGAAACAUUCUGUUUAUACUGCCUUGCUUGGAUGAUUGCUGAAAAUUUCCUCUCUUUCCAAUUUCAUGCUGAAUAUGGUUCCUUCAUCAUUAAAUGAUUUAAUAACCAGGGGUUAAAUGGAGGGAUUUUAAUAAGAACUUGAACUAAGUUGCAUUGUUUUCAAAGAUGUGCAUCAUGAUUUCUAAACUUUCCUUAACAUUGCUUGUUCCCUUUCUAUGUUCACUCACUGAGUUUGUACUCAUGUUUUCAAAAUUCAUGUUUUAAGUUUCCUAAGGCAAAGGUGGUUGGAUCCUAGGACGAGGUGUUCCUCCCUAUCCAUUGCUCGAUAGGUUUACCAUGACAUUAAAUGUUAGCAACUUUGUCCGGAGUCACUUCGUUGACGGUCAAGUUCUAAUUAAGUGUAUAUGAAUACUUGUUGUGAAAUGAUGAGAUUCAUUUGUCAAACUAUUUAUGUGUAUUAUGGUUGAUGAUGCCAUUCUAAAUGCAUAGUUGGGGUUUAUGAAUUGUUUUCGAAGGAACUAUAUUUGAAUGUUAC
rnacentral:lncRNA from 1 species